UACGGUAUACGGCUAGAAGGGCGGUCGGCUAGUCUCCCAGAAGGGAGGUGAUGCCCGUGGAGGUUAAAGAUGCACUCUCCUUAAUGUUCAUGUUCGGUAUGUUCAUUUUGGCGCUUCUUUCCUACAUGAAAAAAUAGACCGCCCUCGGCAGGGUAACGGUCUAUUCUCGACCUAGCUGUGUGGCCGACUGCUCUUUAUGCAGUUAUUGUACAGUGGAGUCGUGUUCCAGCACGGCUC
rnacentral:sRNA from 1 species